AUCUUCAUUAGCUUGCUUUUGAAGAUCAGCGGCGGACGGGUGAGUAACACGUGGGCAACCUGCCUGUAAGACUGGGAUAACUUCGGGAAACCGGAGCUAAUACCGGAUAAUCCUUUCCCUCACAUGAGGGAAAGCUGAAAGACGGUUUCGGCUGUCACUUACAGAUGGGCCCGCGGCGCAUUAGCUAGUUGGUGAGGUAACGGCUCACCAAGGCAACGAUGCGUAGCCGACCUGAGAGGGUGAUCGGCCACACUGGGACUGAGACACGGCCCAGACUCCUACGGGAGGCAGCAGUAGGGAAUCUUCCGCAAUGGACGAAAGUCUGACGGAGCAACGCCGCGUGAACGAUGAAGGCUUUCGGGUCGUAAAGUUCUGUUGUUAGGGAAGAACAAGUACCGGAGUAACUGCCGGUACCUUGACGGUACCUAACCAGAAAGCCACGGCUAACUACGUGCCAGCAGCCGCGGUAAUACGUAGGUGGCAAG
rnacentral:rRNA from 1 species